rnacentral:lncRNA from 1 species
AAAAUUAAAAAAAUAAAAAAAGACGGUGUAGCUCCCCUGGUACUGGGCUGUACUCUGCCCCUAGGCCAGGCUACCUGUGCCUCCUAUGAGACCAUCACUAGGAGGUUGUUGUCAGUAAGUAGUAACAGCUCUGACCUUGUGCUGCUUAAAUUCUCACACUCAGUUUUCGUCGUUUCUAAAAUGGAGAGAAUAAUAGUUUAACAUGCGUUAUAGGAUUGUGUCAGGACUAAAUGAGAUAAUUUGCAUGCCUGACACAUUAUAGAUACUCAAUAUUGAAAAAAAAUUUUAACGAUUUUUCUUUUUCUUUUUUUUUUUUUUUUUUAAUUUUAUUUUCCCACUGUACAGCAAGGGGGUCAGGUUAUCCUUACAUGUAUACAUUACAAUUACAGUUUUUCCCCCACCCUUUCUUCUGUUGCAACAUGAGUAUCUAGACAUAGUUCUCAAUGCUAUUCAGCAGGAUCUCCUUGUAAAUCUAUUCUAAGUUGUGUCUGAUAAGCCCAUUUUUUUCAUUAUAGAUGAUUUACAGUGUUUUGUCAAUUUUCUACUGUACAGUAAAUUGACUCAGUCUCUCUCUCUUACACACAAGCGUGCGCGCACGCUCACGCGCGCGCACACACACACACACACACACACACACACACAUUCUUUUUCUCACAUUAUCCUCCAUCAUGCUCCAUCACAAGUGACCAGAUACAGUUCCCAGUCCUGUAUAGCAGGAUCUCAUUGCUUACCCAUUCCAAAGGCAAUAGUUUGCAUCUAUUAACCCCAAAUUCCCAGUCCAUCACACUCCUUCCCCCUCCCCCUUGGCAGCCAUAAGUCUGUUCUCCAAGUCCACGGAUUUCUUUUCUGUGGAAAGAUUCAUUUGUGCCAAUAUUAGAUAUAAGUGAUAACAUAUGGUAUUUGUCUUUCUCUUUCUGAACUGACUUCACUUAGUAUGAGAGUCUCUAGUUCCAUCUGUGUUGAUGCAAAUGGCAUUAUUUUGUUCUUUUUUAUGGCUGAGUAGUAUUCCAUUAUGUAUAUGUACCAUAUCUUCUUAAUCUAUUCAUCUGUCAAUGGACAUUUAUGUUGUUUCUAUGUCUUGGUUAUUGUGAAUAGUGUUGCAAUGAAUAUAUGGGUGUGUGUAUCUUUUUGAAUUGUAGUUUUGUCUGGAUAUAUGCCCAGGAGUGGGAUUGCUGGAUCAUAUGGUAGUUCUAUAUCUACUUUUCUGAGGUGCCUCCACACUGUUUUCCAUAGUUAUACCAAUUUACAUUCCCACCAACAGUGUAGAAGGAUUCCCUUUUCUCCACACCCUUUCCAGCCUUUGUUAUUCAUAGAUUUACUAAUGAGGACCAUUCUGACAGGUGUGAGGUGGUACCUCAUAGUAGUUUGAUUUGUAUUUCUCUAAUAAUCUGUGAUGUUGGGCAUUUUUUCAUGUGCUUGUUGGCCAUCUGUAUAUUUUCUUUGGAGAAAUGUGUAUUCAGGUAUUUUGCCCACUUUUCAAUUGGGUUGUUGGUUUUUUUGCUGUUGAGUUGUAUAAUUUGUAUAUUUUAGAGUUUAAGAGCCCUUGUCAGUUGCAUCAUUUGAAACUAUUUUCUCCCAUUCCGUAGGUUGUAUUUUUGCCUUUAUUUUUUUUUAUGGUUUCCUUUGCUGUGCAAAAGCUUGUCAGUUUGAUUAGGUCCCAUUGGUUUAUUUUUGUUUUAACUUCUGUUGCCUUGAGAUACUGACCUGAGAAAACCUUUGUAAGGUUGAUGUCAGAGAAUGUUUUGCCUAUGUUCUCUUCCAGGAGUUUGACGGUGUCUUGCCUUAUGUUUAAGUCUUUAAGCCAUUUUUAGCUUAUUUUUGUGCAUGGUGUGAGGGUGUGUUCCAGUUUCAUUGAUUUACAUGUGACUGUCCAGUUUUCCGAGCACCACUUGCUGAAAAGACUGUCUUUUUUCCAUUUUGUAUUUUUGCCUCCUUUGUCAAAGAUUAAUUGACUGUGUGUCUGGGUUUAUUUCUGGGUUCUCUAUUCUGUUCCAUUGGUCUGUAUUUCUGUUUUGGUACCACACUGUCUUGAUUACUGUGGAAGGAAGGAAGGAAGGUCGGUGUUAGCAAGGUGAAAAAAGAGGCUCCAGGCAGAAUGAGCAGCAUAUACAAAUGCCCUGAAGCAGGUGGCAACUUGGCCUGUCCAAGAAAGGUAAAUUGGCUUUUCCCCCACACUCAAGGGCUGGACAAGGACUAGGCGCUAAAUCCAGAGAUGUCAUAAGGGCCAGAGUGUCCAGAGUCUGGUGGGCUAUGCUGUGAAUUUGCUCCUUAUCCUGAGAGAAAUGGGAAAGCAAUGUAAGGGAAGGAAGUCAUUCAUGAACAAAUACUGCAUGUCUACCUUGUGUCACAGUCUCAUCCACAGUGACAAGAACAUGCCGAUGAGUAAAAUGGAAAGGAAAAAAAUCCCUAUGCUCUCAGAGAUUCCAUUCUAGUGAGAUAAGGGAAGAUCACUUACUAGGCCUUUUUAAGAUAUUGGGUUUUACUCUAAGUAGAAUUGGGAGCCUUGGAAGCAUUUUCAGCAGAUAAGUGAUAUAAACUGACUUAAAUUUUAAAAGAAUCCCACUGUGUUGGGUUGAGGAUAGUUUGAGGGGUCAAAGCAUGAGAGUAGAAGCAGGACAUUAGGGAGGAGGCUUCUACAAUGUUUCAGGGGAGAGACCACAGUGGUUCUGGGGGACAUGUUAAGAAUGACUGGGAUUGUACUUCAAGAUGAAAUACAGUGACAUUUUAAGGGCUAAAGAUGAUGCAACUGUUUUGAGGGUUGUAAAGUGGGCCUGGAAGAAAUAUUGGCCAUCAAAAUCUUUGUAGGUAUAGAGUGAUUUUCAUUAAAACAAGAACAGCAGCAGCAGCAAUAAAAGAUAAAGAGGCUCAAGUUCUAUAAACUUCUAAAGAGUACUCAUGUCAGUUAAUCAAUUUAUUACAUCUCAGUUCCAUAUCCACCCUUGAUUACUUGUUCUGGGAUAAUGAACAUGGACCCUUUAGGCAUUUUUCCUUUGCAGCAGGAAGAGUUUUGCUGAGCUUUAUCAAUAGAAGGCACUGGAGAGAACUUGCAGGAGGAAGGGGGCUUUUCUUGCUGGUUCUAGUAUGUUAAGGUCAUCAAUCAGUCUUCCACUCUGCAUUGGCUGAUGAGUAUUACUAUCCUGUGCCUGAAAUGACAUUUUGCCUCAUUUACCUGACAUAGGGUCAUAGGCAGCAUGGUGAAUAAUAAAUCAAUGUGCAUUCUGUUGCCAAUGAUCAAAAUAUGCCACAUAGCAACACUGUAGUCAUCACAUUGACUCAGUCAUGAUGGUUUGAAUGCUGUGACCCACUGGCCCACAUCCAAUGGUCUCUCCCCCACUCUUAGCCUUUUCCUAUUUUUCAGGAUGAAUGCCCUUCCCUUCCCGCAGAACUAACAGAGGGCAAAUAAGCAGGGCUUAGAAAUAGCUGUGAUGGCCCCACACCUGGCAGUGGAAGAGUAGGCUCUUGACACUUCCCCCUCAACACAAAUAACCCCAAUAACCAGGAAAGUGGCUCAAUUGUUCCCCCUUUAUCUAAGUCUUUCUCUCUUUUUUAUAAACAGGUGAAAAUCAAACAAAGUUUAAUAAUGUGUAUAUAUAUGGGAGAGACCCAGGAAAACUGACUUGGUCCUUGUCUAGGUCUCUUGACUUUUAAAGGUUUCUCUGAGUGACUCUGUCCCUGGUCUUGGUGGGAAGGUGCCCCUGCUUUGUGCCUCAGAAGGUUGACAGCAACCCAUUCAUGCCCUGGUGCUACCAUGUCUCAGAGCUAGAUCCCAUUCUGUUGUCCAUCUGCUUAUCAGUUGGAAUUCCUGAAAUGAUGCAUGGAUCAUGAUACUACCACUUUGUUAUAUACGUCCAAAGCCACAUUCCUGCCCUGUCCUGGAUCAGAUGUCAUGGUUCUCUGUGUACAAAUAGGAUUGGCCUUGCCUCUGUUGCGUCUGGCCUUUGAUUAUGAAUCCUUGCUUGUAAUUUGGUAGCUUUAUCCCUUUUUGUACCUAUCAGCUUCCUGCUCACAAUAUUCCUCAAGUUCAAUUUCAUCUUUGCUCCCCCAGGCUGGGUAUCCAUUGCCACUGCCUGGAAGCAGAGAACUAACACCAACUCAGCCUAAUUAUGUUAGUUGUUAUUAUGGAGCAUAAUAGGAAACCACCUUGGAUUUAUCAUAUAUAUGUAUUAUAUAUACACAUAUAUAUAUUUCCGUGUGUGUGUGUAUAUAUAUGUAUAUAUGUGUAUAUAUAUACUCUUAUAUAAACCAUAUACCAAAAUAUUAACAGUGGUUACCUACGAAUAGUGUGGAUUCUGAAAAAUUCUUUUCUCUCCUUUUUGUGUUAAAUUUUCUGCAUUGAAUAUGUAUGUAUGUAUAUGUGUAUAUAUUUAUAUAACUUUUAUUACAAGGAAAGAAAAUUAUUUUAAAUUAGAAAAUCUAUAGUGACUUUUCAUCUUCAAAAAUUGAAAACAAUGGCAUGAAUUCCUGAUUCUUCAUAUUAAAAUUUCCAUGAUACAAAAAAUCAGAGAUAAAUCACUUAGCUGUAAUUAUGGGAGAGAACACUUUUUAGAUUCUCUGAAGGAGGUAAAUCUUAUUUUUAUCAUUUAGCCAUGUUUUAUUUUCAUUGCCAUAUGUGCAGCUCCAAGGAAAAUUUAUGCUGGACGUUUGAACUUCUGGAACACAUCUUAGUUAGAGUAAGUAGGCUUAGCUGUUAGUGGGACCUCAGGGGCUCAGUGUUACUGAUAAUUUGAAUAUGUCCCCCAUUUUGGAAGACAGCUCUAUAAUAAGGACAUGCCUACUGUUGUCUUGGGAUCUCAUUUGCAAGCAUUCCUACCAUGCCUGAAGUUUGGAUGGGGCUCAUGUGCCAAGGUGUACAAUAAAAGAUAACUGGACCCAAAAUAAAGCAGGCAAUAGGACAAGUUUUAAAUUUUAAUGUGUAUAAAAAAUGUUUUCCUAUUGGUGCUGCAUUUCAAAGAGAAGUUGAAAGAUAAAAGUAGGUAUCUAAGGUAUGCUUUGCUAGGUGACAUUGAGCAGUGCAAUAAAGGUUAAUAACAGCUGCAUUGAACAGCAGCUACUUGGGGCCUCUUACACCAUUAGUUUAUUUUUGAGUCCAUACAGUGUAGGGGUUAAGAGCAUGGACUCCGAAGCCAAAUUGUUUGAGUUUGACUCUGUUGCUUUCUAGUUGAGUGACUUGGAUAAGCUAUGAGACCUCUCUGUGCCUCAGCUUCUUCAUCAUAAAAUAGGGAUAAUGGAAUCCCAUAGAGUUGUUGUGAAGAUUAAAUAAAUUAAUAGUUGAGAAGCUUUUAGAAUAGCCCUUGGCAUGUAGUAAGUGCCAGAUAAAUAUGUCCUGCUAUUUUUAUUGUUAUUUUUUUUGGAGAACUGGGUGGAUGAGUAAUUGCUAGGGAUCACAAUAUGGCAGGUGUUGUUUGGCUGAACUACAGUCAUUCUCAAUCCUUUAUCGUGUAUGCUUUUCACCAGAAAGGCCAAAAAAGCUGGUGUUUGCUCUUCCAGUUGCCCCGGCAGGUAGAGAUGGCACUCUCCACAGUUCUAGACAAUGGGACUCAUGUGAAGGUAUAGGGGACAGCUUCUUGGAGUGCUUUUGCUUUCCCUGUGAAAGGGACAGUUGAAGGCGGCACUGCCCACCACUUUUGUUCUUCCCUUGAACAUGGAUGUGGCAUCUGCAACCACCACAGGCAUUUGUCAACCAUGAGGUGGCAAACAAGUGGGAAACCAAGAGAAUCUCAGGUGCUGUAGUAUCCUUCAGCCUGAUGUACCGUUAAUUUGAAAAAACUGUCCUCAGGUGUUGACUUACUGAAUUCCUUUUUGUUAGACAAUCAUUGAGCAUUUACUUAGUGCUAGGUCUUAUAUUAGCCACUGUGGAUGCAAAGAUGGAUAAAACAGCUUUGCCCUUGUAGGGCUUACGUUCUCUUGGUAAGUGCAGUAGAAAGUGGUAAUUGCUUUUAAAAAGUGUAUGCAAAGCACCAGAUCCUUUUGUGUAGCACUGGGAACUAUGUCUAGUCACUUAUGAUGGAGCAUGAUAAUGUGAGAAAAAAGAAUGUAUACAUGUAUGUGUAACUGGGUCACCAUGCUGUACAGUAGAAAAAAAAUGU